rnacentral:tRNA from 1 species
GGGGUUGUGGCUUGGUGGUAAAGUGCUGGCCUAGCACGCGUGAGGCGCUGGGUUCAAUCCCUAGCACCACCU